rnacentral:tRNA from 1 species
GCAAACUGUAGCUCAAUAAGAAGAGCGUUGGUCUUGUAAACCAAAGGUUGGAUUACAAUAUCCCAUUUGCU